CAGAAUUGCAACAGAAACUCUUGCUGCUGCUAUUGGUUCUGGCAAGCAAGGUCCUGAAACAGGUUAUUGGAAGUUCCUGGUGAUGGCAGCCAUUCUCUGAUUUCUUGCAUUGAGCUUCCAGUUCUCAUGUGUGACAGGCAGUUGGGAAAGCAGCUGGUGGGGAAUGCAGCAGCUUCUUGACAACCGAAUCACAGCUAGUAUGAUGUAUCCUUGAACUAAACAGUCCAGUGGUCAUCCCCUGACUGCUGCUGCCCCAGCUCAUCCAAUCAUUUGGUGGGCCUCAUGCAGUAAGUUGAAGGUUGUAAGAGCAAAGAUAGAAGGCCUUCCCAAAGAAUGAGGACUUCUGCCUGAGGAUAGCAAAUACCAAUUCUGCAUGGGUUUCCUGGCUUCAGACUCAAGAAUGCAAUAUCAACUCUUACUGGAAUUUCUAUCCUACCAGCUUGCCCUGCAAAUUUCAGACUUGCCAGCCCUUGCAAUUGUGUUAUUCAAGGUUUUCAAAAACAAAGAUGUUGUAAAGAUAUAUGCAAUAACUAUUACUAAAGCAUAAUAUUAUAACAUUAUUUAAAAAGCAUGUGCUUUGAAGUCUGCAGACCUAGAAUACAGUUCUUCUCUAUCACGUAUAAUCUAUGUA
rnacentral:lncRNA from 1 species